rnacentral:rRNA from 1 species
ACGUAGGUGGCGAGCGUUACUCGGAAUUACUAGGUGUAAAGCGUAUGUAGGUGGUUAGAUAAGUCUAUGGUGAAAUUUCCUGGCUCAACUGGGAAGGGUACAUAGAUACUGUCUGGCUUGAGUGUGGGAGGGGAAGACGGAAUUCCUGGUGUAGCGGUGAAAUGCGUAGAUAUCAGGAGGAACACCGAUGGCGAAAGCAGUCUUCUGGCCCAAUACUGACACUGAGGUACGAAAGCUAGGGUAGCAAACAG